AGGACACCCAAAAAGAAGUUCAAGGCACUGGAGGUCACGAGGACCAUCAUGCGGAAGUCUCGAGGUUCUGAUUAUCACCCAAAGCUAAACUAGCAGAUUUACCUAAAUUUGUGACCGUAAUUGUCAUUGUCUUGUACAAAAAGACAAAGUAGUAUCGUCAUACACGGCAGCUUAGUUACAUUUAAAGAAAAAUGUCGUCAGAAGAAUUCGAGAAGUUGCAGGAAAUGUACAUGUCGUUGUAUGAUGAGCUGAAGCUAAUACCGGAGAGUGCUCUGAAAAGCCACGGAGAGGAGAGGAAGAAGCUGGUGAGGACAUUUGAUGAGAGACAUGGGGAGGCCGAGGAAGUGGUGAGUUGCUCAGUUUGUUUACCUUUUAAAUCUGGAGAAAAAUCAUGGAGAAAAUAUUGUAAACACAGUCUGGUCUCUUUUUAUGUAUCA